rnacentral:snoRNA from 2 species
AUGAAGAGACCCGGCAAGUCCUAGGCGGUGACGACACAUUCAUGAACAGA